UACGUAGGGGGCAAGGCGUUGUCCGGAAUCAUUGGGCGUAAAGAGCGCGUAGGCGGUCCGGUAAGUCGGUUGUGAAAACUGGGGCUCAACCCUCAGAGGCCGACCGAUACUGCCGGGCUAGAGUCCGGAAGAGGCGAGUGGAAUUCCUGGUGUAGCGGUGAAAUGCGCAGAUAUCAGGAGGAACACCAAUGGCGAAGGCAGCUCGCUGGGACGGUACUGACGCUGAGGCGCGAAAGCGUGGGGAGCAAACAGG
rnacentral:rRNA from 1 species